GAUGAACGCUGGCGGCGUGCCUAACACAUGCAAGUCGAACGGAGUCGUUUUGGAAAUCUCUUCGGAGAUGGAAUUCUCGACUUAGUGGCGGACGGGUGAGUAACGCGUGAGCAAUCUGCCUUUAAGAGGGGGAUAACAGUCGGAAACGGCUGCUAAUACCGCAUAAAGCAUUAAAUUCGCAUGUUUUUGAUGCCAAAGGAGCAAUCCGCUUUUAGAUGAGCUCGCGUCUGAUUAGCUAGUUGGCGGGGUAACGGCCCACCAAGGCGACGAUCAGUAGCCGGACUGAGAGGUUGAACGGCCACAUUGGGACUGAGACACGGCCCAGACGCCUACGGGAGGCAGCAGUGGGGAAUAUUGCGCAAUGGGGGAAAACCUGACGCAGCAACGCCGCGUGAUUGAAGAAGGCCUUCGGGUUGUAAAGAUCUUUAAUCAGGGACGAAACAAAUGACGGUACCUGAAGAAUAAGCGCCGGCUAACUACGUG
rnacentral:rRNA from 1 species